UACAGAGGUCCCAAGCGUUGUUCGGAUUCACUGGGCGUAAAGGGUGCGUAGGCGGUCGGGUAAGUCUGAUGUGAAAUCUCACAGCUUAACUGUGAAACUGCAUUGGAUACUAUCCGGCUCGAGGAAUGGAGGGGAGACUGGAAUACUUGGUGUAGCAGUGAAAUGCGUAGAUAUCAAGUGGAACACCAGUGGCGAAGGCGAGUCUCUGGAAAUUUCCUGACGCUGAGGCACGAAAGCCAGGGGAGCAAACGGG
rnacentral:rRNA from 1 species